GUCCACAGCCAUGCCACCCUGAACAAGCCCGAUGUCUGAUCUCAGAAGCUAAGCAAGGUCGGCCUGGUUACUACUUGGAUGGAAGAUCAUCCAGGAAGAGCAGGUGCUGUAGGCA
rnacentral:rRNA from 1 species